rnacentral:rRNA from 1 species
UAGGGAAUAUUGGACAAUGGGCGAAAGCCUGAUCCAGCAAUGCCGCGUGAGUGAUGAAGGCCUUAGGGUUGUAAAGCUCUUUUACCCGGGAUGAUAAUGACAGUACCGGGAGAAUAAGCCCCGGCUAACUCCGUGCCAGCAGCCGCGGUAAUACGGAGGGGGCUAGCGUUGUUCGGAAUUACUGGGCGUAAAGCGCACGUAGGCGGCGAUUUAAGUCAGAGGUGAAAGCCCGGGGCUCAACCCCGGAACUGCCUUUGAGACUGGAUUGCUUGAACAUCGGAGAGGUGAGUGGAAUUCCGAGUGUAGAGGUGAAAUUCGUAGAUAUCUGGAGGAACACCGGUGGCGAAGGCGGCAUCCUGGACCAAUAUUGACGCUGAGGAGCGAAAGCCAGGGGAGCAAA